GGCCAAGUUAUUUAGGGCACACGGUGGAUGCCUUGGCAUCAGGAGCCGAUGAAGGACGUGGGAGGCUGCGUUAAGCCUCGGGGAGUCGCCAACCAGACGUUGAUCCGGGGAUGUCCGAAUGGGGAAACCUAGCACCAGUCAUGUGGUGUUGCCGCCGUCUGAAUGUAUAGGGCGGUUGGUGGUAACGCGGGGAAGUGAAACAUCUCAGUACCCGUAGGAGAAGAAAACAAUUUAGUGAUUCCGUGAGUAGUGGUGAGCGAAAGCGGAGGAGGCUAAACCGUGCGCGUGUGAUAGCCGGCGGGCGUUGCGUGUGCGGGGUUGUGGGACCUUCCGGAGGAGACCGCCGUCUCUUCAGGCAGUGAGAAAUCGGUGGGGUAGUCGAACGCUCUGGGAAGGGCGGCCGUAGACCGUGAUAGCCGGGUAGGCGAAAUCUUGCCGACUGUUGGGAGUGUUCCCGAGUAGCACGGGGCUCGAGAAAUCCUGUGUGAAUCUGCCAGGACCACCUGGUAAGCCUAAAUACUUCCUGAUGACCGAUAGUGAACGAGUACCGUGAGGGAAAGGUGAAAAGCGCCCCGGUGAGGGGUCGUGAAAUAGUACCUGAAACCGUGUGCCUACAAGCCGUAGGAGCGUAGUCGUCUUCGGGCGGCUGUGAUGUGACUGCGUGCCUUUUGAAGAAUGAGCCUGCGAGUUAUGGUGUGUGGCGAGGUUAACCCGUGUGGGGGAGCCGUAGCGAAAGCGAGUCUGAAUAGGGCGUUUGAGUCGCAUGCUGUAGACCCGAAGCGGGGUGAUCUACGCAUGGGCAGGUUGAAGCGUGGGUAAGACUGCGUGGAGGACCGAACCCACCAGGGUUGAAAACCUGGGGGAUGACCUGUGUGUAGGGGUGAAAGGCCAAUCAAACUCCGUGAUAGCUGGUUCUCCCCGAAAUGCAUUUAGGUGCAGCGUUACGUGUUGCUUGCCGGAGGUAGGGCUCUGGAUGGCUGAUGGGCCCGACAAGGUUACUGACGUCAGCCAAACUUCGAAUGCCGGUAAGUUGAGCGUGGCAGUGAGACUGCGGGGGAUAAGCUCCGUGGUCGAGAGGGAAACAGCCCAGAUCACCGACUAAGGCCCCUAAGCGUGUGCUAAGUGGGAAAGGAUGUGGAGUCGCAGUGACAACCAGGAGGUUGGCUUAGAAGCAGCCACCCUUGAAAGAGUGCGUAAUAGCUCACUGGUCAAGUGAUUCUGCGCCGACAAUGUAGCGGGGCUCAAGUACACCGCCGAAGUCGUGGCACCACUGGUCCUUUCGGGGUCUGGUGGUGGGUAGGGGAGCGUCGUGCGAACCGGUGAAGCCGCCGAGUGAUCGUGUGGUGGAGGUCGUGCGAGUGAGAAUGCAGGCAUGAGUAGCGAGUCAGAAGUGAGAAUCUUCUGCGCCGAAUGACCAAGGGUUCCUGGGGCAGGUUCGUCCGCCCAGGGUAAGUCGGGACCUAAGGCGAGGCCGACAGGCGUAGUCGAUGGACAACGGGUUGAUAUUCCCGUACCCGCUGUGAUGCGCCCAUAUCGAAUCCAGUGAUACUAAGGGUCCUUAACCCGGUUGGCUCUUCGGAGUCGGCGUCAGGGUGAACGCCUGGCCUGAUCUGGUAGUAGGUAAGCGAUGGGGUGACGCAGGAAGGUAGCCCAGCCCGGGCGGUGGUUGUCCCGGGGUAAGCAUGUAGGGGGAGAGAUAGGCAAAUCCGUCUCUCAUAUUCCCUGAGGUGUGAUGCCGAGCCGAUUGUGGCGAAGUGGGUGAUCCUAUGCUGCCGAGAAAAGCCUCUAGUGAGUGUCGCGGCGGCCCGUACCCUAAACCGACUCAGGUGGUCAGGUAGAGAAUACCAAGGCGGUCGGGUGAACUGUGGUUAAGGAACUCGGCAAAUUGCCCCCGUAACUUCGGGAGAAGGGGGACCUUUACUGGUGAUCGGACUUGCUCCGUGAGCUGGUGGGGGUCGCAGUGGCCAGGGGGAAGCGACUGUUUACUAAAAACACAGGUCCGUGCGAAGUCGUAAGACGAUGUAUACGGACUGACGCCUGCCCGGUGCCGGAACGUUAAGGGGACCGCUUAGCAUCUUUCGGGGUGCGAAGGUGAGAACUUAAGCGCCGGUAAACGGCGGUGGUAACUAUAACCAUCCUAAGGUAGCGAAAUUCCUUGUCGGGUAAGUUCCGACCUGCACGAAUGGCGUAACGACUUCCCCGCUGUCUCAACCACAGGCCCGGUGAAAUUGCAGUACGAGUAAAGAUGCUCGUUUCGCGCAGCAGGACGGAAAGACCCCGGGACCUUCACUACAGCUUGACAUUGGCGUUUGGAGCGUCUUGUGUAGGAUAGGUGGGAGACUGGGAAGCGGUAACGCUAGUUAUCGUGGAGUCAUUGGUGAAAUACCACUCUGGUCGUUUUGGACGUCUAACCCGCGCCCGUGAAUCCGGGUGGGGGACAGUGUCUGGUGGGUAGUUUAACUGGGGCGGUUGCCUCCUAAAAGGUAACGGAGGCGCCCAAAGGUUCCCUCAGCCUGGUUGGCAAUCAGGUGUCGAGUGUAAGUGCACAAGGGAGCUUGACUGUGAGACUGACGGGUCGAGCAGGAGCGAAAGCUGGGACUAGUGAUCCGGCAUCGGCGUGUGGAAGCGGUGUCGCUCAACGGCUAAAAGGUACCCCGGGGAUAACAGGCUGAUCUUCCCCAAGAGUCCAUAUCGACGGGAUGGUUUGGCACCUCGAUGUCGGCUCGUCGCAUCCUGGGGCUGGAGUAGGUCCCAAGGGUUGGGCUGUUCGCCCAUUAAAGCGGUACGCGAGCUGGGUUUAGAACGUCGCGAGACAGUUCGGUCCCUAUCCGCUGCGCGCGCAGGAGACUUGCGAGGGGCUGUCCCUAGUACGAGAGGACCGGGACGGACGAACCUCUGGUGUGCCAGUUGUUCCGCCAGGAGCACGGCUGGUUGGCUACGUUCGGUAGGGAUAACCGCUGAAAGCAUCUAAGCGGGAAGCUCGCCUCAAGAUGAGGUCUCCCACCACCUUGUGUGGGUAAGGCCCCCUAGAGAUGAUGGGGUUGAUAGGCCGGAAGUGGAAGCGCAGUAAUGUGUGGAGCUGACCGGUACUAAUAGGCCGAGGACUUGACCAU
rnacentral:rRNA from 1 species